UAGAAUUUUAAAUACGUUAUCAGUUCAGAAGAAAAAAUAUUAUUUCUUAAGCUCAGUUUUGAAUUUAAGUUCAUAAUCAUUUUGAGAAUAAUAUUGUUAACAUUUUAAUGUUACAUAAUGCAGACAAUUAUGAACGGGAUCAAGAGACGUUGAGCUUGGCAGAGGAGAAAUGUGAUCUUCAAAUUGCAGAAUCAGAGGGGGAGUCUCUGAGGCAUUCCAAAGUGAGGAAGGGGAUUCAGAUGUAGUAUCUGUGAGAAGGUACUAAAAUGUAAAGGUGGAUAUACUGUUCAUCAGCAGAUGACUUGAAGUCAAAAGAAACGGACACCAUUCAGGCAUUUCUACAGAUUUCCAAGCAUGAAUGCUCUUAUGUUCAGCUGAGAACAAAAAUGAUGAACAAGCAGAAAAUACAGCAGCAAAGGACAAGGAAGAAAUGGCACACAUUUUAAGAAUAAGAUUAACUUAAAAAAUAUUCAGAUCAUUUCUAAGGGAUGUUACAUUUGGGAAUUCACUUUCCCAGUAUACCAGAUACUAGUACUUUGCUGGUAGAGGGUGGAGUGAAUCCCUUGUGUGAUUUGAACCCACCCUCUCAGAGUGAAACACCUUAUCACAGAACAACAUAGUCAGCAAUUUAACCUGACAAA
rnacentral:lncRNA from 1 species